GUGAACCCACAAAAGGUUAAUAAAAGUUUCAGGAUAGCAAGUAUCUGUAUCAAUAUUCAUGGGUUUGGUCAAGAAAGGGAGAUGAAUCUUCAGACUAGAUGAAUUAACUGUGAGUUAAAACCAGGAUAUAGAAGUUUUGCAUUAAUUAAAACAAAAGCUGGCAAGUGAGAAUAAAGAAAGAUACGCGCACUGUUAAUAUAGAAACUUAAAAGUCUAGGAUCAUUCAGUGAUCAAUUAAGAAGCUCUACACACUUACAUAACGCUUUAUUUAAUUUUUAAUGAGUGUUUUUAGGUGCCAGGCAUAAAAAGGAUUACUAAAGUAUUAUCUGUAACUUCAGAAGCUCUUUAAGAUAGAGACAAAUAAUGAUUAAUUGUGUGUGUGUGUGUGUGUGUACACACGUACAUGCAUAGAUAGCAUAUAUAUGUGUAUGUUUAUAUAUAUAAUUAUGUAGUUACAUAUACAUAUUUUAAUUGUUCUUUCUAAGACUGGAUAUAAGAAUUCAAGCUUCCUCUCCCCUCUUCACACAUUUAACUGGAACUGUGUGUUUGAAAAUUUCUUGGCAACUUUCUCUUUUUGUGAAGAGUCCUUAACAGGGUGAAUGCCCUUUGUUGAUCCAGCCGAUUUGUGUGGUUCGGCCAACUUACCUCUUUGCGCAGCUGGUCUCUCUUCUAGAGAGACGUCAUUCUUUGAUUCCUUUGUACAAGCUUGGCCUAUUUUAUACUCUUUCCUAGCAUUUCCUACCCAGUGGUCCUCACUGAGUUACACCAUGCCUCUCCCUGGUCUGCUUGGCACCUUGAUUUUCAUCUAACUUAAUAUUUAGAAUUGCCAACAGGUUUUACCAUCUCAUAGUAGGUGAGAACAGAGCAAUUUAGAAAUUUGGCACCUUGGGAAGAGAGUUUAACAUAGUUGGAGAUUAGAACUUCACCUAUCAUUUUAGCAGUGCUUGCUUAGCUUAGUGUCUGGAAUGUAAAGGCUUCAACAGGUACUCAGAGGAAUCACUCCCAUUCAGGUAUUUAUUGGCAAUGCAAUUCAUUGGGCCUCCCUUGUGGGCCAAGGAAUAGUUUUGUGUGAAAAGGCUUUCCAAAGUGAAAAUUGCUGUGGAGAGUAAAGUGAUUUACAAGAUGAUACCUCUUUGGUUAACAGUAUUCUUUUUCUACCUACUUCAGAAAAUUGGUAAAUGAAGCCAAGUAUAUGAAAACUAUUCUUUGGAGGAGGAACAAUAUAAUAGCCUUGAGUUUUGAAAUAAGAAUCAAAGGUGAUAUUUUCCCCAGAUUAUUGGGAAAGAUGUAUAUGAAUCUAUUUGCUCUGUAUUUGGACAGUUGCUUGCUUUUUAGGUAAAAAUUUUUUAUGAACUAUUUCCCUCUUUUAAAGAAAGUUGAGUUACUCAUUUCUCCUCCCCACUGCUUCUUGCUCUCUAUAACAAAUGCGAGUCUGUUGAGGAAAUUUUUGUUAAGAUAUAACAUCCAUACAGAAAAGUGUACAAAAUAUAAGUUUAAAGCUCGCUUACAUGUGCGCGCGCGCUCUCUCUCUCUUUCUUUCUCUCUCUCUCUCUCUAUAUAUAUAUAUACACAUAUACAUAUAUAUUUGUGUUUUUAAGACUGCACCCAUGGCAUAUGGAAGUUUCCAGGCCAGGGAUCAAAUCAGACCUUCAGCUGCCAGCAUAGGCGACAGCCUCUGCAAAGCCAGAUCCAAGCCAUGUCUGAGACCUACAACACAGCUUACGACAAUGCCAGAUCCUUAACCACUGAGUGAGGCCAGGGAUCAAACCCACAUCCUCAUGGAUGGGGAUACUACUCAGGUUUGUUACCAUUGAGUCACAACAGGAACUCCUAAAGCUUGAUGAUUUUUUACAAACUGAACACCAUCAGCAACCCAGAGCCCCCUAGCCUUUCAUGUCUCCUUAUAGUCUCCAGUCUCUGUGCCCCAAGGAUAUUCCUUCUCCUGACUUUCAAGUGCCAUAGUUCGGUUUGUCUGUUUUUGAAUUGUACAUUAAGGGAACCAAACAGCACAUGCCCUUUUAUGCUUAACUUACUUUGUAACUCAUUGUGCUUGCAAGAUUUAUCUGUGUUCCAUUUGAAAGAUUAAUGUUGUGUUGUGCUGGUGUGUGUAGUUGCAUUUCACUCAUUCUCAUUGCUUUAGAGUGUUCCAUAGGUGAAUAUAUCACAAUUUUGUUGACAGAAGCCACUUGGGUAAUUUCUAGUUAGGGUCUGUUAUGAAGAGUGUUUCUAUAAAUACUCCUGUACACAGUUUUUGGUGAACCUAUGUGCACUUUUUUGUUGGCUCAUAUAAUGUAGGACUGGAAUUGCUGAGUCAUAAAAUGCUCAUUUAACUGAGUACUUCCAACUAAUUUUUGAGCAUGUUUAUACCAAUUUAUACUCCCACCAACAAGGUAAAAGAGUUCUACAUCCUUUUCAACCGUUGAUAUUUUCUGUUUUAUGUUUCAUAUUUUUAUUUUAGCCACAGUGAUGGCAAACAUAUCUUUAUUAAAGAGACAGAUGGUCAGAAAAAUCCCUGGCCUGUUACCUUAAGUGAACUUGAUUUUGGCAAUGUUAGCUAGUUCAUUCUCUCUUAAUGAAAUGAAUCUAGGACAGACUGAGUGCAUUCAUCCACUGAAGUUCUUCAGAAGUGAAUGAUCACCCAGUCCUCUUCCACCCGCAACCAAACACAAAUGAUCUCAGCUCACAGUUACCAAGGCCUCCUGAGAAAGCAGUUUUUGCCAAGUCAGUCUUUUUCUAAUUCCCUUGGGAAGAGAUUUUACAGGAUUCUCUCCAUUAAUCAAAACAAUUUCUCCCUUCAAAAUAUAUCUCAGUUAUUAUAAUUAUAUUUUGUUCAUCAUUUCAGGGGAGUCUAGAAGUGGUUAUUUAUAUUUGUUAUUUUGUGGCACAUGCCUUUUAUAUUUUUCAGAAUUCUACAUUUCAUUGCAACAGCUGGGACUAAAAAACAGGACGUUCUCUCUAUUGACUCAACAUUUCUAGAAUUCCUUUUUGGUCAAAAGUGUAAAUCUGUUGACCCUUCCAAACUUUCUUCUUUCUGACAAGAAAAGCAAAUCCAGAAGAGAAUAUUUUGAGAUCUUAUUAAUUAUUUUCCAUUGUCUUGUGGGUUUGUUUUUGUUGUUGUUUUGUUUCUACUUAAUAUCCAACUAUUAUCAUUCUGCCUAUUAUUUACUUAUUUUAAAAUAAAGAUUUGAAAUAGUUUUUCAUAUUUUUCUAGAAGUUUCAUUUGAUUAGAAAGGUAUUUCUGGGCAAUGCAACUUAAGUCUUAACUGUGAAAUUCUGCCAAUAAUUUGAGAGUGUUUAAAGUUUCUCUUUCUGUUGUGUAUACAGUUAGGUUAUCCUGUGAAUUCCACGUGGAUUUUAUAUGCCGUGAUCCUUCAGUAACCAGUCUCUAAGAAAAAUAGAACCUUUUCCAUACUUAAUUUAUAAACAUAUCUCUAAAUUUUCCUCUUCAUUUUGUUUAUGGUAAAUUUUACCAUGAAAAUAUAAGUGAUUUUUAAAUAGCCAAAUAUAUCUAGUUUUUCCCUUACUGUUUUUGAGAUUCUUGUCCUAUUAAGGAAAGCUGCCUCCGCCAAGUGUAUACAAAUAGGCUCCCACAGUUCAUUCCAAUAUUUUUCUUUUAAAAAAGACAAGGUAAGGAUCUACUUCUCUUUCCUUCUGGAUAAUCAGUCAUAUUAGAACCAUUUAUUAAAUUAAUCAUUCUCAUUAGGUUAGAUUAAAACCAUAUAUAUACUUAUCUUUCUGUGGAUGCUUGACCAUAUAUGACUAAUAUAUGUUUCUGUGCCAAUAUCAUACACUUUUGCUUAUGAUGACUUUAUAGUUAGCUUAGUAUCUUUGUCUCUCACUUUCCCUUCUUAAUUGUUCUUACUCAGUAUUCAUAAAUUUCCUGGCCACCAUUAGAGAUUUAUUCUUACAUUAUACAUUCCAGAAUUAUUUUAUAUAGUCUCAUAGAAAAGCUUGUUGAACAGAACACUGUAAACCAGCUACAUGGAAAAAAUAAAAAUCAUUAUAAAAUUAAAAAAUAAAAAAUAAAUGCACCAAAAAAAAAGAAAAGCUUGUUGAGUUUGUCAUUUGAGUUGCAUGACAUAUGUUAAUUUUGGAAUUACCAAUAUUUCUAUUGUAGUCCUUAUUCAAGUUAUUUUAUGUAUUUCAUUUGGAUUUCAAAUUUUAAUUUUUGUGUCUUACACUAUUCUUGCUAUAUUUAAGAAUAAGGAUUUUUAUUGCUUUAUCUAUUAUAAAUAUGUAUUUUUUCUACUUUAGCUUCAAACAUUAAGGUUAGGACAGAGAAAAAAGUUGAAUCUCAUAAAAUGUCCAGAGUUAAUUCUGGGAUAUUUUCAGGAGCUGCUUGGAAGAGAUACUCAAAAUGAAAAACAUCUCGUCAUGAAGAACAUGAGAAUCAACUCUCAACACAAAAGAAAAUAAAAUCUAGAGGUGGAGACAAAGCAGUCAGAUAGUCACCCAGUUUCUGGUACAUGCCAAGUACAACUUCUCUCUUCAGAGAAACACCUAAUCUUCAACCACCACCACAGACUCCUUGAUUGGAUUGUCAGCCUUUCCUUAGACAGAGUGGGCAGGAAUGCAAGGCUGGGAAUUGGAAGAAUAAAGACCUAAUCUAACAAAUGGUUUCAGUAAUGCUUGAGAUCUCAGUACCUAGAACACUGCCUGGCUUGAUUGAUGCUGGUUGCCUGGAUGAGAAGGCAGAUAAGACAUCCUCCAAGUAGCUAUUCUUGGUUCCUUGCCAAAGGAUGGUGAAUAGGAAGAGGUUCUGCAAGUCAGAAAAAAUAAGAAGGAUGGUAAAGACAUGAGUAAAAGCUCUGAAUACUAGCUUUGUUUGGCUUCCUGCGAAGAAAAUUAUCUCUUUAUUUGUAUUACAACAUGCGAUUCUGCUAUUUAAAUUAAUAAAUUUAAAAGUUAAUUAACAUGGGGUGUGAAAAUAACAUUUGUGAAACUAACGUCAAAAUGAUUAUUCAUAUAAAACAUAAUGCAUGAUUUAG